AGUGAACGCUGGCGGUAGGCCUAACACAUGCAAGUCGAACGGCAGCACAGUAAGAGCUUGCUCUUACGGGUGGCGAGUGGCGGACGGGUGAGGAAUACAUCGGAAUCUACUUUUUCGUGGGGGAUAACGUAGGGAAACUUACGCUAAUACCGCAUACGACCUACGGGUGAAAGCAGGGGAUCUUCGGACCUUGCGCGAUUGAAUGCGCCGAUGUCGGAUUAGCUAGUUGGCGGGGUAAAGGCCCACCAAGGCGACGAUCCGUAGCUGGUCUGAGAGGAUGAUCAGCCACACUGGAACUGAGACACGGUCCAGACUCCUACGGGAGGCAGCAGUGGGGAAUAUUGGACAAUGGGCGCAAGCCUGAUCCAGCCAUACCGCGUGGGUGAAGAAGGCCUUCGGGUUGUAAAGCCCUUUUGUUGGGAAAGAAAAGCGGCAGGUUAAUACCCCGCUGUUCUGACGGUACCCAAAGAAUAAGCACCGGCUAACUUCGUG
rnacentral:rRNA from 1 species